rnacentral:misc_RNA from 1 species
GAUGAAGAACGUAGCAAAAUGCGAUAAGUAAUGUGAAUUGCAGAAUUCAGUGAAUCAUCGAAUCUUUGAACGCACAUUGCGCCCGCUGGUAUUCCGGCGGGCAUGCCUGUUCGAGCGUCAUUUCAACCCUCAAGCCCCCGGGUUUGGUGUUGGGGAUCGGCUCUGCCCUUCUGGGCGGUGCCGCCCCCGAAAUACAUUGGCGGUCUCGCCGCAGCCUCCAUUGCGUAGUAGCUAACACCUCGCAACUGGAACGCGGCGCGGCCAUGCCGUAAAACCCCAACUUCUGAAUGUUGACCUCGGAUCAGGUAGGAAUACCCGCUGAACUUAAGCAUAUCAAUAAGCGGAGGA